CACGCGACACACACAUAUCUGUGUGUGGGCGGGCGGCGUGGUGGCGCUGUGCCGGCAUGGCGGCGCUUCUACCAGGAACAUGGACAGCGCAGGCAGCCGGACGUGCUCCAAAUCGUCAAUCUCCACCCAUGUACCGUCCUGCAGAUCCAGAUAAGAAAAGAGAGAUUAGCACUCUCCCAGCUUCUGGGAGUUGGCAAGCUGGGACAUGGGAGACCAACAGGGAAGGCAACACAGUCCAGCCGUGGCCAUGAUGCACCUCCUUGGAAAAAUUCCAAAUACGUUUUUUCUUCAGGUUAUGUAGACCCUCACCUGUGCUUUUCACGGUGACGGUGCUGACUAUAUAUCACAUCUUCUGAAGUUUGUAGCUGUUUGUAUAUGGCCUCUGUCUGCCAACGACAAUGGUAACCAA